UAAUAGCGAAAAUCAAGCACAUUUGAAAACCAAUUGGCGGAAUAUGGAAUCAUCAACCCCCAUGAUGUACCUAAACUCAAAUUACCAGCCCCUUCUUUCUAUGGAAAGCAAUAAAUUAAUCGAAAGAUAAUAAUAAAAGUCUAGUCGAAGGCCUGAUUCAUUGAAGAAUUUUGUCAAACACUUAUAGAGCAAAGCGAAACAGAAAAAUAAAAGAUGAUAUUAAAACUCAUCUUUAAAACAAAAUAUAAAACUUUAGAUUAUCUGUUCCAAUCUCAACAAUUAUACAAAAUUUUUAAUCAGAAAACGCAUAUACCAUAGGUAUUUCCUUUAAAAUAGACAAACCCAUUUCACCUAAAUUUUGUUCAAUCAUUUUCAACAUAACUUUUCUUAUUUUCCUAUCAAACAAAUUCUAUCUUUCAAGAAAAUUCAAAGGAUAUCAACAAAACCCCAUAUAUGCAAAUAAAUUGGAAAUUACAACAACAAAAAACCCAGUAUAUCCCACAAAUAAAUUGGGAAUUAACAAUGAAUACUUUUCCCAUAAUAAAGAUGUAAUAUAAGAAGGGUAAAGAUCGGACCUUUGUGCCACCAUCAAAAUAAUUGGGUCGACAAACUUAGCAUAAAUAAUUCAAAGGCAGCUUAGAUUCCCACACAAAAUCAGCAGAAGAAGCGUCCCUAAAACACGAUUUAGCAUUGAGAUUUUACAGAUCUCUUGGUGAUAAAACCUUGGGAGGAAAGUGACUGACCUUCGAUUAACCGGUGAUGUCGAAAGUAGCAGCAAAAUCGAUCAAUUUAAGAUAAAACGAAAUCUGAAGAUGAAGCAGAGAAAAAAAA
rnacentral:lncRNA from 1 species